rnacentral:rRNA from 1 species
UACGUAGGGGGCAAGCGUUGUCCGGAUUCAUUGGGCGUAAAGCGCGUGUAGGCGGUUCGGUAAGUCCGCUGUGAAAGUCGGGGGCUCAACCCUCGGAUGCCGGUGGAUACUGUCGGACUAGAGUACGGAAGAGGCGAGUGGAAUUCCUGGUGUAGCGGUGAAAUGCGCAGAUAUCAGGAGGAACACCGAUUGCGAAGGCAGCUCGCUGGGACGUUACUGACGCUGAGACGCGAAAGCGUGGGGAGCAAACAGG